CCUACCAAUGACACAAAUUUCGUCUGUUGUUUCUUUCCGUUAUCAGCAUAAAAAAAUGCAUAUCGCAUACCCUUACGCCGAGUGCUAAAAUGUCCGAUUUUAUUGCGACGAUGACGACCGGAGUUUUACUACUUCUGAGGGCUCCCAUCUAUUUUACGGAGGGCAUCGAAUUACAUAAAUGCCCCCACAACCUGACGACGACACGACACACGGGGCCAGGCUCGGGACGAUUUCAUACGUUUUAUCCUUAUUUGACGGUUCACAUAAACGAUUAUUGCCCAUUCAAAGCGGGAGUCCACCGAGUAGGAAUUCCGAUCGGGUCGUAAAGAAGAGUGCAGUGCAGGCAGGGGAGUCAGGUUUUCGAUCGACGGACCGCGCGCGGGGAUGGCGUUUGACUCUAAAUAGACAAAAUCUAUUACGCUUUGAAGAUUGGUUUCGCGUCGUUGAGGUUCACAAAUACCUGCCAAGCCCCAAACGGAGAAACUCCUCGUGCUCGUGCGGACAGUUGCGGAAUUUAAAGCCAAACAAAGGCGCCUCCUUACCACCCGUCUCCGCUGUCGUUGAGCUCACUUUCCCGCACCUUGCGAUUUCUUCGGUUAACUUGACGAAUAGGUGGAUGGCUGAUGGGUGAUGUAAAGUGAUAUCCAUUAAACAUGGUCAUCGCGUACCUUGCCUCUCUUCAGUCCGUCAGUGUGGAGAGACAUUAGACAUUCUUCGAUCGUUACUUGAAUAAAUCAAUCAAAUAGUUUAAGCUGUCCUCCGGGGGUUGCAUUCAUCAGUCAUAGACGAUGACGAUGGCAAGAAGAGGCAGCCAAGUGCAUACAAGGAACAAACCGAAGUCGUCGUCGCAGAAGGCAGAAUGACAUCACAUCACGUGUAUUGCCCAUGUCGAGAUGGCAGUUGAUUGCCUAAUCGUUCGAUCUCCGAUCGAUGCAAAACCUGUUUCUGUUUAGAGAUAUCGGCAGCAGUUUCCCAGAUUGUCAGAGUUGCGAAGUCAAUCGCUAAAUAUUUGAUUGCAUUGACAAUAAACGAUUCUGUUGAAUGCUUCUCGCAUAAAUCAGUCCCAUUCAGGACCCUUUUAAGCUGAAACGAACGUUCUUUGUGCUCUUCGUUCCUCCCGGAAAAUUACCACGUAAAUCAACCAAAGGCUCUUUAGGAAAGAAACGAAAAAAUGGAAAUUUCCCAUCUUCAUCGUCAUUAGUCGCUUCGUCCUGCGAUCGUCCUUCGGCGUAGCAGUAUCAUGGGAAGCAGCUGGCCCUGCGUGUGGAACCGGAUUCCUCCGAGGAACAAAAGCUGCUGACUUACUUGUGGUGGUUGUUAAGGAAGCGAUCUGUUAUUUGGCCCUAGCCGAAGAAGGAAUAAACUGCAGUCCAACCUGGGUUAAGUAUCGUAAAUUAUAUGAUUUACGUGAUGGCACUUGAAUUACAACAAACACGACUAAGUGCUCAGAGCAACAAUGCGAAAAAAUGGUGAGUCGCCAUCAUGAGUGACCCUACAACCCAGUGGAAAUCACUAACUUGCGCUAGGCCCGAAAGUCUACAGCAGUGCUUCCUAAAUUUGUUCGGACUAUCGCCCCCUUGAAAUCAAAAAAAUAAAUAAAAUCACUCUCUGGUAUAAACAUCACAUUAUAGUAAAGAAAUUAUGCUGAAAUUGUUCCACACAUUUUACUUUAAGUGAAACAAUAUUGUUAAAAUUGUCUGUUACAACAAUUUUUUUCGAAAUAUAUUUGAAAACUGAA